CGAACACGGAAGUUAAGCCCUCCAGCGCCGAUGGUACUUGGGGAUGACCCCUGGGAGAGUAGGUCGUUGCCAGGC
rnacentral:rRNA from 1 species